GAUGAACGCUGGCGGCAUGCCUAACACAUGCAAGUCGAACGAAUGGCGGACGGGUGAGUAAUGUCUGGGAAACUGCCCGAUCGAGGGGGAUAACUACUGGAAACCGUAGCUAAUACCGCAUACCAUCGUAUGUGCCCAGAUGGGAUUAGCCAGUCGUGGGGGUAACGGCUCACCGAGGCGACGAUCCCUAGCUGGUCUGAGAGGAUGACCGGCCACACUGGAACUGAGACACGGUCCAGACUCCUACGGGAGGCAGCAGUGGGGAAUAUUGCACAAGGGGCGAAAGUCUGAUGGAGCCAUGCCGCGUGUAUGAAGAAGGCCUUCGGGUUGUAAAUUUCUUUUGGUGAGGAGGCGUUACUCACAGAAGAAGCAACGGCUAACUACGUGCCAGCAGCCGCGGUAAUUC
rnacentral:rRNA from 1 species